AUGACUCAGGGCAGGUGUGUGAAGACAUCUGUAGUGUUCACUAGGCUGGGUGUGUUCAAGGCUGCAGCCAUGUGCAGAGUCCUACGCAGUGUGAGAAAAAGAUGCACACUGUCAGGCAAGGAGCUGGGCUCCAUGUGGGGCUGUCCAGCUGAAAGGGUAAAAUGGUCCUGCAGCUCUCCAAGGAGCCGUCAGCACGGCUGCUCAAACACGUUGUCCGCUGUUACCUUCGCCUUUCUGAUAACCCCAGGGCACGUGAAGCUCUCAGACAGUGCCUUCCUGACCAACUGAAGGACACCACUUUUGCCCAGGUCCUCAAGGAUGACACCACCACAAAGCGCUGGUUGGCUCAGCUCGUCAAGAACCUGCAGGAGGGUCAGGUCACUGACCCACGGGGCAUCCCCCUUCCUCCGCAAUGACUGCUGGGGGGGGUGGGAGAUCGGGGAAGAAACAGCUCAGGUUUACAAAGAACUAGGAACAGAUGACCUCUUCUGUAACAAACUGGGCAUGCCAGCUGACUUUCAGUCUGCCAGCUUGUCGAACCAUUCCACCCAGCCAAAGGCUGCUCUGUAGCAAUGCAGCAUGCCUCUGGGGAUCACAACACCAGCAGAUACUGAUAUCACAGCUUAAAAAGAAUCAAUAAAAAUAAUCUGUAAAGAUCCCCA
rnacentral:lncRNA from 1 species